UACGAAGGGGGCGAGCGUUGUUCGGAAUUACUGGGCGUAAAGGGCGCGCAGGCGGCCUCUUGAAGCCAGAUGUGAAAGCCCCGGGCUCAACCUGGGAAUGGCAUUUGAUACUCGAGGGCUUGAGUACGGGAGAGGAGAGUGGAAUUCCCAGUGUAGAGGUGAAAUUCGUAGAUAUUGGGAAGAACACCGGUGGCGAAGGCGGCUCUCUGGACCGUAACUGACGCUGAGGCGCGAAAGCGUGGGGAGCAAACAGG
rnacentral:rRNA from 1 species